UGGAUUCGGCAACAAGAUGACA
rnacentral:sRNA from 1 species